rnacentral:rRNA from 1 species
CCUACGGGCGGCUGCAGUGGGGAAUAUUGGACAAUGGGGGCAACCCUGAUCCAGCCAUGCCGCGUGUGUGAAGAAGGCCCUCGGGUUGUAAAGCACUUUCAGUGAGGAAGAACGCCUGGUGGUUAAUACCCAUCAGGAAAGACAUCACUCACAGAAGAAGCACCGGCUAACUCCGUGCCAGCAGCCGCGGUAAUACGGAGGGUGCGAGCGUUAAUCGGAAUUACUGGGCGUAAAGCGCGCGUAGGUGGCUUGAUAAGCCGGUUGUGAAAGCCCCGGGCUCAACCUGGGAACGGCAUCCGGAACUGUCAAGCUAGAGUGCAGGAGAGGAAGGUAGAAUUCCCGGUGUAGCGGUGAAAUGCGUAGAGAUCGGGAGGAAUACCAGUGGCGAAGGCGGCCUUCUGGACUGAAACUGACACUGAGGUGCGAAAGCGUGGGUAGCAAACAGGAUUAGAUACCCGUGUAGUC